rnacentral:rRNA from 1 species
CCCUAAGUAAAGUGAGAAUACCCUCUAAGUUUAAGCAUACCAAUAAGUAGAGGAAAAGAAACUUACCAGGAUUCCCUUAGUAACAGUGAUCAAACUAGGAAUAAUGCAACUUAAGAAUCGAGUAGCCCAAGUUCUAAAUUGUAGUCUAGAGAAACAUUUUCAGCGGUAAAUUGGGCCUAAGUCCCCUAGAAAGGGGUGCUGAAUAGCGUGAGAGCCCCAAUGUGCUUGGAUCCUAUCGUACCAUAAGGCACUAUUUAUGAGUCGGGUUAUUUAGGAAUGUAACCCUAAUCCGAUGGUAAAUUCCAUCUAAGGUUGAAUAGGAAUGAAAUACUAAUUCAAAUAAGUAGCACAAGGGAAAGAUGAAAAAGACUUUGAAAAUAAAGUUAAAGAGUACUUGAAAUUGCUAGGAAAGAAGUGGAUGGGGGUUGGUGAUGCACACAGAUCAAAUAUGGAAUAGUGAAAGUCAGUCUAUCGAUCAGUUUGGGGCAUGGAUUAAUGUGGGUCAUGGUAGUGGCCCAAGCCUGACCUUUCAAUAUGUUGAUGAAGAUGUCAUCUUUGUGAUAAUGGAAUGCAUCAUGUGCCAUCUUGGUAUGCUUCGACACCUGUGUGCUCUUAAUUUCUGCCAAUAGGCUCCCCAUCUAGCCCAUCUUGAAACAUAGACCAAGGAGUCUGACAUGUGUGCAAGUCAAUGGGCUAAAAAACACCCAUAAAGUGCAAGGAAGCCAAUUUGAGGAUCUCUCGUAGGUGCACCACCAAUCGACCUUGAUCUUUUGAGAAGGGUUCAAGUGUAAGCAUGUUUAUUGGAACCCAAAAAAUGGUGAACUACGCCUGAAUAGGGUAAAGCCAAAGAAAACUCUUAUGGAGGCCUUUAGCGAUAUUGGCAUGCAAAUUGUUCAUUUGACUGGGGUAUAGGGAUAAAAGACUAAUUGAACUAUCUAGUAGCUACUUUUUUCCAAAGUCUCCUUUAGGAUAACUGGAGCAUUUAGUGAGUCUUAUCAGGUAAAGCCAAUGAUUAUAGGCAUCAAAAGUGCAACACCCUUGACCUAUUCCCAAACUUUAAAUAGGUAGGAUGGUAUAGCUAUUUUGUUGAGCCGUGCCAUAAAAUCAAGAGCUCCAAGUGGGUUAUUUUUAGUAAGUAGAACUGGUAAUGCAAGAUGAACUAGAAGCCAAGUUAUGGUGCCCAACUACAUGCUAACCUAGAACCCAUAAAGAGUGUUGGUCAAUUAAGAUAGUAGGAUAGUGGUCAUGGAAGUUGAAAUCCACUAAAAAGUGUGUAACAACUCACCUACCAAACAACUAGCCCCAGAAAAAGAUGGCACUUAAGGGCAUGACCUAUUCCCGACCAUCAAGUAGGGGGCACAACAAUUGUAGCAAAAUCAGUGCAUGAGAUUGGGCAGAUUGACUGUUAGUGCAGAUCUUAGUGGUAGUAGCAAAUAUUCAAAUAAGAACUUUGAAGGUCGAAGAAGGGAAAGGUUCCAUGUGAAUGGCACUUGCAUAAGGGUUAGUCAAUCCUAAGAAAUUGGGGAAGCUGAUCCGAUAGUGCAUCUAGUGCAAGCUUCAAAAGGGAAUGGGUUAAAAUUCUUGUAUCAGGACAUGACAACUAAUGGCAAUGUUAGGGAGUCUAGAGACAUAGGUAGAGGCCUCAAAAAGAGUUAUCUUUUUUGUUUAACAGCCUGUCUACCCUGGAAACAGCUUAACCAAAGGAAAGAUCUAGUGACUAGAAGAGCAAUGCAUGUUGUAUAGUGUUCGAUUCAUCCCCAGUGGCCUUUAAAAUCUAGAGAACUAAGUGCCAUCUAUGCCUAAUCGUACUCAUAACUGAAUUAGGUCUCCAAGGUGAAUAGCCUCUGGUCGAUGGAAUAAUGUAAGCAAGGAAAAUUGGCAAAAUGGAUCCAUAACCUUGGGAAAAAGAUUAGUUCUUAGGGUUAGGCAUGAGGGUCCUAGUCCCAAACCCAUCAACUAUUGAUGCACUACUCGCGCUGCUUCAGUGGUGAGAGUGGGUCAUCGUAUGCUGGUUGAGGAAUAGCUUUAUAAUACCUCAAUCCCAUAUUGGAAGAAUGUGCGGAUAUGAUAUGAUAUAUAUAUAUAUAGAGAGAUCUAAACCUAAACUUGUGAGGCAUCUUUUGUCAGAUAAAACUGUGAUACCUUUAAGUCAAAGUGGAUAAUACCUUGUAGGUUAGGUGUUGGUCUCCAUAAAUGGUAUCAGAAUGGUCACCAGUCAAUAAGAACUAAGUGCUAUAUCAUGGGUGUUACUAAGUGCAACAUGGUGGAGAGCCACCUCUAGAAUCUCAAUGUCUAGUGUGAUCUUAGUCUUAUGGUUGGACUUAGCUUGACAGGGACAUCAAUCUUUAAAGAUGGGGAGAUUGUAAUGCCAUAAUCCCACAUUAGAAAAAUGUAUGGAUAUGAUAUGAUAUAUAUGUAGAGAUCUAAACCCAAACUUUUGAGGCACCUUUUAUGGGGCAAAACCAUGAGACCUUUAGGUCAAAAUGGACAAUACCUUGUAGAUUGGGUGCAGGUCUCCACAAGCUCCCUAAGGGCCUUCCCUAGGUAAUGAAUAGUUACUCAAAACUGGUAUAGACAAGGGGAAUCUAACUAUUUAAUUAUAGCAAAGCAUUGUGAUGGUUCUUAUAGAUGCUCAUGCAAUAUGAUUUUUGUGUAAUGAUCUGGAUGUCAAAGUGAAAAAAUUCAACCAAGCGCUGGUAAACAAUAAGAGUAAUUAUGACUCUCUUAAGGUAGCCAAAUGCCUCAUCAUCUAAUUAAUGAUGUGCAUGAAUGGAUUAAUGAGAUUCCCAUUAUCCCUAUCUUCUAUCUAGUGAAACCAUAACCAAGGGAACAAGUUUGGUAGAAUCAGCAAGGAAAGAAGACCUUAUUGAGCUUGACUUUAUUCUGACUUUGUGAAAUGAUUUGAAAGCUAUAGGAUAAGUGGGAGCCCUUAGGAAAAAUUAAAAUACCACCACUGUUAACAUUAUUUUACUUAUUCCAUGAAUAAGAGGCAAGGCACGACCCCUUUUUUUAGACCUAAGGCUGACCUCAAUCAAUUGACUUAAGUCAAAGAAAUUGUUAGGUGGGGAGUUUGGCUGAGGCGGCACAUCUAUUAAAAGAUAAUGUAGGUGCCCUAAAAUGAGCUCAACGAGAACAAAUAUCUUGUGUGGAACAAAUGGGUAAAAGUUCAUUUGUUUCUAAUUUCCAAUACAAAUACAAACCAUGAAAGCAUGGCCUAUCAAUCCUUUUGACCUUUAGAAUUUGAAGCUAAAGGUGUCAAAAUAGUUAUCAUAGGAAUAACUAGCUUGUAGCAACUAAGUGUUCCUAGUGAUGUUGCUUUUUCAUCCUUUAAUGUCAGCUCUUCCUAUCAUUGUGAAGCAAAAUUCACCAAGUGUUGGAUUGUUCACCCACCAAUAGGGAAUGUGAGCUAGGUUUGUGAGAUAGGUUAGUUUUACCCUGCUGAUGGUAGGUCACAAUAGUAAUUCAACCUAAUAUGAGAGGAAUCAUUGAUUCACACAAUUGAUCAUUAUGCUAGGUUGAAAAGCCAUGGAACGAAGCUAUCGUGCAUUGGAUCAUGACUGAAUGCCUAUAAGUUAGAAUCUAGGCUGAAAGUGACACACGUACCUAUCUCCUAAUUGUUGACCCAUAGUAAGGGCCCGUGGCCCUAAGGGCAUGUGUCAUAGGUAUAACCCCUGAAGAGGAUAAGUAGUAUGAGCUUCCUUGGUGCUCAAUUCCCAUUGAA